rnacentral:rRNA from 1 species
AGAGUUUGAUCAUGGCUCAGAGCGAACGCUGGCGGCAGGCCUAAUACAUGCAAGUCGAGCGGGUGUAGCAAUACACCAGCGGCAGACGGGAGAGUAACACGUGGGAACGUGCCCUUCAGUUCGGAACAACCCAGGGAAACUUGGGCUAAUACCGGAUACGUCCGAAAGGAGAAAGAUUUAUCGCUGAAGGAUCGGCCCGCGUCUGAUUAGCUUGUUGGUGAGGUAACGGCUCACCAAGGCGACGAUCAGUAGCUGGUCUGAGAGGAUGAUCAGCCUCACUGGGACUGAGACACGGCCCAGACUCCUACGGGAGGCAGCAGUAGGGAAUAUUGGACAAUGGGCGCAAGCCUGAUCCAGCCAUGCCGCGUGGGUGAUGAAGGCCCUAGGGUUGUAAAGCCCUUUCGGCGGGGAAGAUAAUGACGGUACCCGCAGAAGAAGCCCCGGCUAACUUCGUGCCAGCAGCCGCGGUA